GAGCGCAGCGCCCCCCCCCUUUCGCCUGCUCUGUGCGCGCACGCGCGUGUCCACAAGGAGCAGGAGCAGACGCAAGUAGUCGGUCCGCACUCAUGUACCGCUUGACGCGCACCACCACCAUGCUUCGUCAAUUCGUGGUGCCAGUGCGUCAGACGACACAGAGGGCAGGAUUGCCUACGCCACCGUUAUUUGGUGUGCAGAAAUGCUCUGUGAACAUGAAUCGCAGCGUGCAGACGCGGUGGGAGAUUGAUAGCCAGACCGCCUCGCAGAAGCGCACUGAAUACGACUUUGACAAAGAGCAGUGGAUGAAACAGAUGCGGUUUGCCUCUAUGGACUGCAUCAUGGACCCCGACAUCACGCCCAUCCGCUACACCUCCGUCGGAGGAGUGAAGAAGGCGCUCCGGCGCUUCGUGACCAUGCGCAAGCUGAUGGACCGUCGCCCGGACUUCGACCCUGUACAGCUGAAGGAGCUGUUCAUCCAGUUCAAGACGCUCUCCCAUGAGAAGAGCCCGGACUGCUUCAAAACGCUGCAGCGCAUCACGACGCACGGAGAGGCGGACCGAAUCCUUAAAGAGAUCAAGGGACGCAUGAACGAGGACUUUGCCAAGAAGAGCUGGAGGUCGUUGAAGCAGCAAGGAGCGAAGAGCACGUACGAGAUGGAGGUGGACUCAUUCGACCUGGUGACAUGCUACAUGGGGCAGAUGUCGCAAGAGGACUGGCUUCAAAUCACGUACCGCUGCGAGUUCCGCCAGCGCGCGAGCAAGGAGUAUGACUGGGAGACGAUGAUGGAGUACCCGGUGUUUGAGGUGAGACUCGGAGACGGUGUCAAGGCGCCCAACACCCACCCCUUCAUCGUUGUGGGGGUGCUCAAGAAGGACGGCACCCGCUACGGCAAAGACUCACAAGACGCCGCCGACCUUCGCAAGCAGUUCGACCGCACAGGGCGGUGGUUCUGACACACCGAUGAGUGCAACGGAUGCACCAUCCUUUUUCUUUCGUGUGUGUGCGCUUCCUUUCUGCAGUCGUUGGACAUGCGCAUACGCCCACUGUGAGCCGAUUUCUCGACGCUCAUGUUGUCUUUUGUAUGUCGCUGUGUGUGGGUGUGUGUGUGUUGGAGCGGUACUGUUGUCUCACAGUUCCAGCUGCGGAUCGUGCUUCGCUACGUAGCUUUUGUCGCUAAAGUUGAACAGACACGCAAGUUUGUGUACAGG
rnacentral:misc_RNA from 1 species